AUACCUUUCUCGGCCUUUUGGCUAAGAUCAAGUGUAGUAUCUGUUCUUAUCAGUUUAAUAUCUGAUAUAUGGGUCAUCGGCCCAUACGAUAUUAACUAUAUUUUUUUAGGGAAAAGGCCCAUCAAGAUAGCUUGCUAUCUGGCCUUUUGGGAGUCGCCCUUGCGUUGCACUAGUGCACGGGCCUGGCUCAACCCAU
rnacentral:snRNA from 2 species